rnacentral:pre_miRNA from 1 species
AUAUACACCUGGGAAUCUUGUUAGAAUGCAGAUUCUGAUUCAGACGUCCAUGAAGGACCUGAGAGUCUGCAUUUCUAAUGAGUUUCCAGGAGAUAUCAGU